rnacentral:tRNA from 1 species
AAGGAGUUAGCUCAAUUAAAGUGAUUGAUUUGCAUUCAAUUGAUGUAAGAUAAGAUCUUGCAGUCCUUA